UCGGAUAUGGUGUAACGGCUAACAUUGCCGCCUCUCAUGUUCAACGCGGCAGCUCGGGGUUCGAUUCCCCGUAUCCGAG
rnacentral:tRNA from 1 species